UGAGCAAUCUGCCCUUCUCUUCGGAAUAAGCGUGGGAAACCGCGUCUAAUGCCGAAUACGACCUCCUUUCGCAUGAUCGGAGGUGGAAAGCUCCGGCGGAGAAGGAUGAGCUCGCGGCCUAUCAGCUAGUUGGUGUGGGUAAUGGCCCACCAAGGCGACGACGGGUAGCCGGCCUGAGAGGGUGACCGGCCACACUGGGACUGAGACACGGCCCAUACCUCCUACGGGAGGNAGCG
rnacentral:rRNA from 1 species